GUACAUACAUUGAGUCAAAAUCAAUUUCAGUAGUGGUCUGCAGCACACGCGUGUACAAUUGUAGUCCCCGUUUAAAUACCACAAGGAUAUCAUGUGUAACAUGGCAGCAUUUAAAUGUCAUUUGAUGAGUACAACAUGCCUGGUCUACAUGUAAACAAAGACCUCCGUUUAUUAAUGAUUUAUUCAUUAUUUGUUUUAAUUGUGUUGAACAGCGAGAUUUAAAAAUCAGACGGCGAAAUUCAGGCUAUAACGUCCAAGCUAUGAUUAUAGCUGUGCUGUGAUUGUAUCUCAAUCAUGUUUUGGUCGUAAUUCCGCAAUUUGUUUUUCAAUUCAGUUCCCUGUGCAAUAUAUAAACCCCUUUCCCUUUUAUUAUAACCGGUGAUAUAUAAAAUAAUUGCUGCACUUGAUAAAUAUAUAGAAUAUAUACUUUUUGGGUUAAUUUGCUGCCACGGAUAUAGCUGUGUUAAAUAUUAAAUUAUUCACGUUAUACAAUUAUCCCCCGGCUUCCAAGCUUAUAUUGAGCUGGCUGCAAAGCAGGAUAUAGAUUGCGAUAUGUAUAAAUAUAAGAGGCAUGUCUAUGUGUCCGCUGGACAGUGCUGGUUAGACUGUGAUAAUUUUGGCAAGCUAGGCUCACAUCACAUAGGAACAUAACAUAAAAUACCAGGUAAACUGCCAACUCCAAUAUUUUUCUGUAGUUAGAAAAAAU